rnacentral:sRNA from 1 species
AUGUGACCGACUGCAGAGGCCGCGCCGCCUCCCCCGUCCGAGGUCUGCGCGCUCCGCCGCAGGGUGCAGACCCGGGGCGCCCGCCUGGGUUUGGGGCGCAAGAGCAGAGGCGGAGCCAGGGCGGAGCCAGCGCGCCGGGUCCCCCCUGAAUCGAAAGCGAAACAGGGGCCGGGGAGGAAGGGCGGAGCCGGCCCCGAGGCACCGCCCCCUGCCCUGCGCGGCUGCUGGACCGACGGGCGCACCCAGGUAGGGGGGCGGCUGAGCCGCGCAGUGCGGACCCUCGCGGGGAACUGCGCCGCCGCCACCAUGUCUCAGGAAGGUGUGGAGCUGGAGAAGAGCGUCCGGCGCCUCCGGGAGAAGUUUCAUGGGAAGGUAUCCUCCAAGAAGGCGGGGGCUCUGAUGAGGAAAUUCGGCAGCGACCACACGGGAGUGGGGCGCUCCAUCGUGUACGGGGUAAAGCAAAAAGAUGGCCAAGAACUAAGUAACGAUCUGGAUGCCCAGGUAACCUGUCCCCUCCCCUCGCAAAGGACCGGGUCACGGGAGGGAGAGCAAGAGGGGGGACCCGACCCGUUCAUGGUGACUGACCCCCCUCUGAAACAGGAGGGACCAGGCAUUGUCGGCCCAUAACUCAUCACCCAAUCUCACUUUUUCACCUCUCCAUCAUUUGUCCGGCCAGGGAGCCUGCAAACAGUAGGCGCUCAUUAUGUGCUGAUUGUAUUCAAUGGGGGAGAGAGCCAUGAAACUAAGCAAUGAAAGGAGCCAGGAUUAUUGCCAUCAUAGGGGGGGCGCAGAGGUCAGAGAAGGCUUACUGGAGGAGGAGGUACCAAGUCUUAAAGAAUGGGGAGGAGUGAGCCCUGGGAGGGGAAAGGGAAAGAAAGGCAGGGGUCUUGGGGUGGGGGAGGGAAUGGCAUAAGCAAAGGCUGGGAGGUGGGGAAGGGUUGUUAGUGGCAGUCUUUAGAAAGGCUGGGAUGAGCAGAGGAUUGGGGAGGAGAGAGAGGCAGGGGAAUGGAACCCUUGUGUUGAAUGAAUGAAUGAAUGAAUGAAUGAAUGAAUGAAUGAAUGGCUUUGAAGCACAGGUGCAUCAUGGCUACUUUGCUUCUUUGACAGCUUUGGUGAUGGGAACGCUGUGGAUUUAGCCUGCCUGAAAGGCUCAGUGUAGGGCUGUUAAAGAGUAUAAUAGGCCGGGCGCGGUGGCUCACGCCUGCAAUCCCAACACUUUGGGAGGCCGAGGCGGGCGGAUCACCUGAGGUCGGGAGUUUGAGACCAGCCUGACCAACAUGGAGAAACCCGUCUCUACUAAAAAAUACAAAAUUAGCUGGGCAUGGUGGCGCAUGCCUGUAAUCCCAGCUACUCGGGAGGCUGAGGCAGGAGAAUCACUUGAACCCAGGAGGCGGAGGUUGCACUGAGCUGAGAUCACACCAUUGCACUCCAGCCUGGGCAACAAGAGUGAAACUCUGUCUC